CGACCCUUACUGUGGCUUCAACCUUUAGGAAAGGCUUCUGAAGUUUUGGCGUGAUUGCCGUCGGUCAGUCGGUCGCAGCACGCAUGCGCUUUUCUGGGGAUUGCAGGAGAGAUGCACGCGGUCCCCUUUGAUUGAGGAUUGCGCUUUCUUAAUUGAAGUGAGUCUGACUAAUACGCGGAAGGGAAAACAAACGUUUAGGCACGUAGCUGAGCAGCGCUCUCUACAGUGCUGCGCAGUUUCCUGUACAGAGCGGAGCUGCAUUGUCUGUUUCCUGUAUUUGCAGGUUCAUGCUUCCGCCCGAAGACAGAGGGAUUGGGCACCUAUAAAUCAGGUCUACAGCACAGUAACGUGCCAGCUGAACACUGAAGAACACACACACACACACACACACACCGUCCAUGAGGGCUUUGACGAGGCUAACCUAAAAUGACGUUCAGCUGCUAGGGAGAAGACUGAGACCUACCUUCUCAUCAAAAUCCCUGAAAGUGAGUAAAUCGAUAUCUUUCAUCUCGGCUCGUUUUUUUUUUUUUCUCUGACUUCCAACUUCCACAUCCAACAUGAUGAUCCUAGGUUGCGCUGGCAUGCUAAAGUACCGCCAGUGCUGGAACGUAGAACUAUUGUGUAUUGGGGAAUCUAGAACAAGGCUCUCGCUACACACAAACACACCUGAUGCAACAACACUGGGAAAGCCUGCUCCCAUAACUCCUUGAGAAAACGCCAUGUCUCUUGGCCUUGUUACAUGCACGCUUGGCGUUCCAUAGAGGUAGCACCUCUCAUCAGGCUGUCACUAACGGACAGCAGUAUCGCACCCUUUUUGCAGAGGUGUUCAGGUCCAGCAGAAAGGCAAACUUUGUGAGGUCGUUUCGGACAGAGGCCACGAUGAAGUGUUGAAUUCUGGGCUAAUGAUGUGGUGUGGCUUGGAGGCUGGCUACAGCGGUGUCACCGUAAAUGUCCCACGGUGGGUGUAGCCCAGCACACGCUGUUUUCUGUUUGGACUGUACACACUACCACAAAAUAACUUACAGAUGCACCGACUGAUUUGAACUUUCAUUACAGUCAUUUGUCUUGAAUUUUUUUAUAUAUAUAUAACCCCCCCCCU
rnacentral:lncRNA from 1 species